UCGAAAGCCUGUCCCAGUUCGGACUGGAGUCUGCAACCCGACUCCACGAAGUUGGAUUCGCUAGUAAUCGCCCAUCAGCCAUGGCGCGGUGAAUACGUUCCCGGGCCUUGUACACACCGCCCGUCAAGCCAUGGGAGCCGGGGGCGCCUGAAGUCCGGGACCGCGAGGACCGGCCUAGGGCGAAACUGGUAACUGGGGCUAAGUCGUAACAAGGUAAC
rnacentral:rRNA from 1 species